CAUCAUUGAAUAACCGGUUCUCGUUAGAUCACCGAAGUCAAGCAUCAUUGGGCGCGGUCAGUAUGGGUGGGUGACCACCUGGGACUGCGUGCCGUU